UUAAAGGAUUCCUCGAUGGCGUUUCCCAGUCACGAUAGGGGGGGAGCACUAUUUCGGUGCGGGCUGGGAGACCGGUACCAAAUCGAGAUAAACUCCGAAUACCUGAUGAUGAGUCAGCCAGUCAGACGGUGGGGGAUAAGCUUCAUCGUCAAGAGGGAAACAGCCCAGACCACCAGCUAAGGUCCUGAAGUUAUCACUAAGUGGCAAAGGAGGUGGGAUUGCAGAGACAACCAGGAGGUUUGCCUAGAAGCAGCCAUCCUUAAAAGAGUGCGUAAUAGCUCACUGGUCAAGCGAUCCUGCGCCGAAAAUGACCGGGACUAAGUGAUACACCGAAGCUGUGGGAUAUUUAUAUCGGUAGGGGAGCGUUCUGUUGAGGGAGAAGCGGUAGCGUAAGCAGCCGUGGACGAAACAGAAGUGAGAAUGUCGGCUUAAGUAGCGAAAAUAUAGGUGAGAAUCCUAUACCCCGAAACCCUAAGGAUUCCUCCGGAAGGCUCGUCCGCGGAGGGUUAGUCGGGACCUAAGGCAAAGCCGAGAGGUGUAGUCGAUGGACAUCAGGUUAAUAUUCCUGAACUAGUGUAUUGGAGCUGUUAGGGGACGCAUAAGAGAUAGCCAUGCCCUGAAUGGAUUGGGAGGGAACUACGGUUUCCGAAUGGUGAAAGGUAGUGCCAAGAAAAGCCGAAGCAGCGAUGAAGAUACAGUACCCGUACCCGAAACCGACACAGGUAGGGAGGUAGAGUAUACCCAGGGGCGCGAGAUAACUCUCUCUAAGGAACUCGGCAAAAUGGCCCUGUAACUUCGGGAGAAGGGGUGCCUGCGAAAGCAGGUCGCAGUGAAGAGGCCCAGGCGACUGUUUACCAAAAACACAGGUCUCUGCCAACUCGAAAGAGGAAGUAUAGGGGCUGACACCUGCCCAGUGCCGGAAGGUUAAAGGGAGAGGUUAGCGAAAGCGAAGCUUUGAACUGAAGCCCCGGUGAACGGCGGCCGUAACUAUAACGGUCCUAAGGUAGCGAAAUUCCUUGUCGGGUAAGUUCCGACCCGCACGAAAGGUGUAACGAGUGGAGCACUGUCUCAACGAGGGACCCGGGCCUAUCGUGACUGGG
rnacentral:rRNA from 1 species